CACUAUGAAGCUAGUAGCGCUAACCUUUUAAGUUAGAGAUAGAGACCAAUGCCUCCAUAGUGA
rnacentral:tRNA from 1 species